rnacentral:rRNA from 1 species
UACGUAGGUGGCAAGCGUUGUCCGGAUUUACUGGGCGUAAAGAGCUCGUAGGCGGCUUGUCGCGUCGAAUGUGAAAACUGGGGGCUCAACCCCCAGCCUGCAGUGGGUACGGGCAGACUAGAGUGCGGUAGGGGAGAUUGGAAUUCCUGGUGUAGCGGUGGAAUGCGCAGAUAUCAGGAGGAACACCGAUGGCGAAGGCAGAUCUCUGGGCCGUAACUGACGCUGAGGAGCGAAAGCAUGGGGAGCGAACAGG